ensembl:misc_RNA Metazoa_SRP Metazoan signal recognition particle RNA
GCCAGGCAUGGUGGGGCGUACCUGUGGUCCCAGCAACUUGGGAGGCUGAGGCAGGAGAAUUGCUUGAGCCCAGGAGUGUAGGUUGCAGUGAGCUGAGAUUGUGCCACUGCACUCUACCCUGGGCAACAGAGUGAGACUCUGCCUCCA